GACCUAACCCCUUUGGAAUCCCCAAAGGAUAUGGUCGCAAAGCCCGCUAGAGAUCAAAGGACUCCCAGUCAGAGUCACUCUAGCGGGUCAUAUCGGGAAACCGGUAUGGGUAUGGCCGAAAGGUUGUAUC
rfam:Parcubacteria bacterium GW2011_GWA1_47_8 TY07_C0001, whole genome shotgun sequence.